GUAACGUGUGUGUAACGUAAAAAGGUGUACAGGUGUAUACCGUACACGAGGUGUACAGGUGUGUACUUUACUAAAGGUGUACAGGUCUUUACCGUACACGAGUUGUACAGGUGUGUACUUUACUAAAGGUGUACAGGUGUAUACCGUACACGAGGUGUACAGGUGUGUACUUUACUAAAGGUGUACAGGUCUUUACCGUACACGAGUUGUACAGGUGUGUACUUUACUAAAGGUGUACAGGUGUAUACCGUACACGAGGUGUACAGGUGUGUACUUCACUAAAGGUAUACAGGUGUAUACCGUACACGAGGUGUACAGGUGUGUACUUUACUAAAGGAGUACAGGUGUAUACCGUACACGAGGUCUACAGGUG
ensembl:lncRNA